UUUUUGUUUGGAGAGUUUGAUCCUGGCUCAGGACGAACGCUGGCGGCGUGCUUAACACAUGCAAGUCGAACGGAAAGGUCUCUUCGGAGACACUCGAGUGGCGAACGGGUGAGUAACACGUGGGCAAUCUGCCCUGCACACCGGGAUAAGCCUGGGAAACUGGGUCUAAUACCGGAUAGGACCACUUGGCGCAUGCCUUGUGGUGGAAAGCUUUUGCGGUGUGGGAUGGGCCCGCGGCCUAUCAGCUUGUUGGUGGGGUGAUGGCCCACCAAGGCGACGACGGGUAGCCGGCCUGAGAGGGUGUCCGGCCACACUGGGACUGAGAUACGGCCCAGACUCCUACGGGAGGCAGCAGUGGGGAAUAUUGCACAAUGGGCGCAAGCCUGAUGCAGCGACGCCGCGUGGGGGAUGACGGCCUUCGGGUUGUAAACCUCUUUCACCAUCGACGAAGGUCCGGGUUCUCUCGGAUUGACGGUAGGUGGAGAAGAAGCACCGGCCAACUACGUGCCAGCAGCCGCGGUAAUACGUAGGGUGCGAGCGUUGUCCGGAAUUACUGGGCGUAAAGAGCUCGUAGGUGGUUUGUCGCGUUGUUCGUGAAAUCUCACGGCUUAACUGUGAGCGUGCGGGCGAUACGGGCAGACUAGAGUACUGCAGGGGAGACUGGAAUUCCUGGUGUAGCGGUGGAAUGCGCAGAUAUCAGGAGGAACACCGGUGGCGAAGGCGGGUCUCUGGGCAGUAACUGACGCUGAGGAGCGAAAGCGUGGGGAGCGAACAGGAUUAGAUACCCUGGUAGUCCACGCCGUAAACGGUGGGUACUAGGUGUGGGUUUCCUUCCUUGGGAUCCGUGCCGUAGCUAACGCAUUAAGUACCCCGCCUGGGGAGUACGGCCGCAAGGCUAAAACUCAAAGGAAUUGACGGGGGCCCGCACAAGCGGCGGAGCAUGUGGAUUAAUUCGAUGCAACGCGAAGAACCUUACCUGGGUUUGACAUGCACAGGACGCGUCUAGAGAUAGGCGUUCCCUUGUGGCCUGUGUGCAGGUGGUGCAUGGCUGUCGUCAGCUCGUGUCGUGAGAUGUUGGGUUAAGUCCCGCAACGAGCGCAACCCUUGUCUCAUGUUGCCAGCGGGUAAUGCCGGGGACUCGUGAGAGACUGCCGGGGUCAACUCGGAGGAAGGUGGGGAUGACGUCAAGUCAUCAUGCCCCUUAUGUCCAGGGCUUCACACAUGCUACAAUGGCCGGUACAAAGGGCUGCGAUGCCGCGAGGUUAAGCGAAUCCUUUUAAAGCCGGUCUCAGUUCGGAUCGGGGUCUGCAACUCGACCCCGUGAAGUCGGAGUCGCUAGUAAUCGCAGAUCAGCAACGCUGCGGUGAAUACGUUCCCGGGCCUUGUACACACCGCCCGUCACGUCAUGAAAGUCGGUAACACCCGAAGCCAGUGGCCUAACCCUCGGGAGGGAGCUGUCGAAGGUGGGAUCGGCGAUUGGGACGAAGUCGUAACAAGGUAGCCGUACCGGAAGGUGCGGCUGGAUCACCUCCUUUCUAAGGAG
rnacentral:rRNA from 1 species